CGUGAGGGAAAGGCGAAAAGAACCCCGGCGAGGGGAGUGAAAAAGAACCUGAAACCGUGUACGUACAAGCAGUGGGAGCACAGGUUUACCUGUGUGACUGCGUACCUUUUGUAUAAUGGGUCAGCGACUUAUAUUCUGUAGCAAGGUUAACCGAAUAGGGGAGCCGGAGGGAAACCGAGUCUUAAUUGGGCGUUAAGUUGCAGGGUAUAGACCCGAAACCCGGUGAUCUAGCCAUGGGCAGGUUGAAGGUUGGGUAACACUAACUG
rnacentral:rRNA from 1 species